AUCUUUUUUGUAGUUCGUAAAUGCGACGAUUGGGUUUUCAUGUUUAUGUGUGAGAUGUGCCUCCCUUAAACCUUGUUACAAUGUCAAUACAUUACCCAUCUGAUG
ensembl:snoRNA